UAUGUGAUCGUCUCUCGCAUAUCAAUAAGCGGAGGAAAAGAAACUAACAAGGAUUCCCCUAGUAACGGCGAGUGAAGCGGGAAGAGCUCAAAUUUGAAAUCUUAAAGGGUUUCCCUUUACGAAUUGUAGUUUAAAGAAGUGUUUUCUGUUGAGGUUUUGGUAAAAGUUCUUUGGAAUAGGACAUCAUAGAGGGUGAGAAUCCCGUACUUUGACCUUUACUUUCAACUUUGUGAUACACUUUCAAAGAGUCGGAUUGUUUGGGAAUGCAGUCCAAAAUGGGUGGUAAAUUUCAUCUAAAGCUAAAUAUUGGCGAGAGACCGAUAGCGAACAAGUACCGUGAGGGAAAGAUGAAAAGAACUUUGAAAAGAGAGUUAAACAGUACGUGAAAUUGUCAAAAGGGAAGCGUUUGACACCAGUGUUGUUUUUCUGAAAAUCAAUUAAAGAACUGUUUAUGCUAAGUUGUUUAGACUUUAUCAGCUAACUGUUUAGUUUUGAGCUUUUCUUUAAUGCACUUUUCAGUUAACAAGUCAACAUCAAUUUCUUUUGCUGUAAAAAAGCUUGAGGAAGGUGGCUUGAGAUUCGUCUUAAGUGUUUAUAGCCUCUUGCCUAUGCAGUCGGAGAGAUUGAGGUCUGCAGCGUAGAUCCUUCGGGGCUAAAUGCAUUUGUGCUAAGUUAUAGCAUUUUAUAGACAACUUGUUGACUAUGAUUUGUCUUGUAGCUUACUCGCUUAUGUUAUUUUACCUACGCUUAGGAUGUUGAUAUCGCGCUCUCACUG
rnacentral:rRNA from 1 species